UACAGAGGGUGCAAGCGUUACUCGGAAUUACUGGGCGUAAAGCGUGCGUAGUCGGUUAUUUAAGUCGGGUGUGAAAGCCCCGGGCUCAACCUGGGAAUUGCAUUCGAUACUGGAUAGCUAGAGUUCGGCAGAGGGAAGCGGAAUUUCCGGUGUAGCGGUGAAAUGCGUAGAUAUCGGAAGGAACAUCAGUGGCGAAAGCGGCUUCCUGGACCAGAACUGACGAUCAGGCACGAAAGCGUGGGGAGCAAACAGG
rnacentral:rRNA from 1 species